GACCCUGAAGCGACGCCUUCAGGAUGCCGAAAAUAAUUAUGGCUACAUGGGCUCCCAGUACAAGGCGGUAGCCCACCAGGCGCUGACGACCAGCAUGUCGUCUCUGCUGUGCUGUUGUGGGAAAUUUAAAGGGUUACCAGUAUAAGGUCUCCCGUGGACGGGAAGGCAGUACAAGGUCCCCCGUGGACACGAAGGCAGUGUACCGCAUACUCGAAUUCAGCAUUUUUAAUA